GGGAAGGAGGUAUUUGGAGGCCAGCCACCUCCCAUGGCAGCGACCACCGACGAGUGGCAACACCUUAGCACCGAUGGUGAUGGCCCCGAUCCUCGAUGAUCACAGCAAGGCCAUGCUCGAUGAUGGCAACCGUUUUGAUAGGAGGAAGAAAAGGGACAAAAAUAGGAAAAGUUUGAACCCCUAUGAAAUCUGAUGACCGAUGGCUCAAUCCGAUUGUCAAAAGCUUCUUAUAGUUCAAAAAAGAGAGG
rnacentral:lncRNA from 1 species